rnacentral:rRNA from 1 species
CCUGGUUGAUCCUGCCAGUAGUCAUAUGCUUGUCUUAAAGACUAAGCCAUGCAUGUCUAAGUAUAAAUAAUAUACAGUGAAACUGCGAAUGGCUCAUUAAAACAGUUAUAGUUUAUUCGAUAAUCUUUCUACAUGGAUAACCGUAGUAAUUCUAGAGCUAAUACAUGCUGCUAAACCUGACUUCUGGAAGGGUUGUAUUUAUUAGAUAUAAACCAAUGCCCUCGGGCGUUGUGAUGAUUCAUAAUAACUGAGCGAAUCGAGGCCGUGCCUUGAUGGAUCGUUCAAGUUUCUGCCCUAUCAGCUUUCGAUGGUAGUGUAUUGGACUACCAUGGCAGUCACGGGUAACGGGGAAUUAGGGUUCGAUUCCGGAGAGGGAGCCUGAGAAAUGGCUACCACUUCUAAGGAAGGCAGCAGGCGCGUAAAUUACCCAAUCCUGAUUCAGGGAGGUAGUGACAAGAAAUAACAACUCGGGUCUCCUUGGGAUUGCGAGAUUGCAAUGAGAACAAUUUAAACCACUUAUCCAGUAACAAUUGGAGGGCAAGUCUGGUGCCAGCAGCCGCGGUAAUUCCAGCUCCAAUAGCGUAUAUUAAAGUUGUUGCAGUUAAAAAGCUCGUAGUUGAAUUUCUGGCCAGUCGGGUGCUGUGCUUCGGCCGGUUCACGAUUUGGUCAUCCGUAGGGGAAACCUAUUCGGCCUUCACUGGUCGGUAGGCGGAAUCUACAAUUUACUGUGAAAAAAUUAGAGUGUUUCAGGCAGGCAAUCGCUUGGAUACUCCAGCAUGGAAUAAUGGAAUAGGACUUUUGUCUAUUUGUUGGUUCAAGGCAAAAGUAAUGAUUAACAGGGACAGUUGGGGGCAUUCGUAUUUAAUUGUCAGAGGUGAAAUUCUUGGAUUUAUUAAAGACGAACUUAUGCGAAAGCAUUUGCCAAGGAUGUUUUCAUUAAUCAAGAACGAAAGUUAGGGGAUCAAAGACGAUCAGAUACCGUCGUAGUCUUAACCAUAAACUAUACCGACUUGGGAUCAGCAGGGUCUUCCAAGCUCUGUUGGCACCAUAUGAGAAAUCAAAG